rnacentral:rRNA from 1 species
GACGUAGGGCGCGAGCGUUGUCCGGAAUUAUUGGGCGUAAAGGGCUCGUAGGCGGUUUGUCGCGUCGGGAGUGAAAACACGGGGCUUAACCCCGUGCCUGCUUCCGAUACGGGCAGACUAGAGGUAUGCAGGGGAGAACGGAAUUCCUGGUGUAGCGGUGAAAUGCGCAGAUAUCAGGAGGAACACCGGUGGCGAAGGCGGUUCUCUGGGCAUUACCUGACGCUGAGGAGCGAAAGUGUGGAGAGCGAACAGG